rnacentral:rRNA from 1 species
UACGAAGGGGGCUAGCGUUGCUCGGAAUCACUGGGCGUAAAGGGUGCGUAGGCGGGUCUUUAAGUCAGGGGUGAAAUCCUGGAGCUCAACUCCAGAACUGCCUUUGAUACUGAAGAUCUUGAGUUCGGGAGAGGUGAGUGGAACUGCGAGUGUAGAGGUGAAAUUCGUAGAUAUUCGCAAGAACACCAGUGGCGAAGGCGGCUCACUGGCCCGAUACUGACGCUGAGGCACGAAAGCUAGGGGAGCGAACAGG